rnacentral:rRNA from 1 species
GACGGAGGGUGCUAGCGUUGUUCGGAAUGACUGGGCGUAAAGGGUGCGUAGGCGGCGCGGUAAGUCGGGUGUGAAAUCUCGGGGCUUAACUCCGAAACUGCAUUCGAUACUGCCGUGCUUGAGGACUGGAGAGGAGACUGGAAUUUACGGUGUAGCGGUGAAAUGCGUAGAUAUCGUAAGGAAGACCAGUGGCGAAGGCGGGUCUCUGGACAGUUCCUGACGCUGAGGCACGAAGGUCAGGGGAGCAAACGGG